AUCAAGGCUAGAGUCAUGCUUGACUGCUGGCUACUGCCUUAGUGGGCUACAGUUCUCAAAAAGUAACUGCUGACCUUAUUCACUGACUGUGAGCUUUGUGGCACAGUCAGUUACUACGGCAGUAACAUGU
ensembl:snoRNA small nucleolar RNA SNORA3/SNORA45 family